AGCAAGUGAGACCUUCACAAAAUAAAUGUAUUUAAAAGGGGAUUUCUAUUUUUUUAAUAAAAAUAUAGAACAAUUAACAUGCUUCUCUUUUGGUUUCUGUUCAUGGUUAUCUAUCAAGCUGUAUUUACACAGGAUUUCUACAGACCCCUCCACAUGAACGCUACAGCAGGCAGCACAGUCAAUUUGACAUGUCUAGCUCAUGGCUCGACGUCCUGCGCUAGUGUUACAUGGCUCAAGGUGGAAUCUGACAGCAGUCUCAUGGUUUCAUCACUCUAUUCAGAUCGGAAUACUGUCACUAGUAACAAUGAGAAAGGCUGCAUGCUGACAAUAAAGCACUUACAGCACAGCGACUCUGGGGUUUAUUACUGUGCUUAUGAUUCCAGACCUCUGAAGUUUAGCAAUGGAACCAAACUCAUUGUAAAAAAUUCCACUAUCAGAGCACCUUCAAUUGAGAUCAUCCCGCCCUCAGACGAGGCUGUUAUCUCUGAAGGCUUGGCCACUCUGGUGUGCAUGGUGUUUGGGAUGGUUUCUGACUCAAACUCAGUUUACUGGGAUGUUCCACUUAAUCUGGAGAGCAGUGGAUCCAGCAAGACCAAGACAGAGAUAUACUCCAUUGGAGAGGAUUUCUAUUUAAUCAGAAAAGAAAUGACAGUCCCAGCAGAGUCCUGGUGGAGUGGAGAGCCUUUUACAUGUACCGUGAAAAUGGAAGACAAGGGAGUGUUUAGAAAAACAGUGACACAGACAGGACCAAGAAAGACGCCUUUUCUGUAUGGACUUUUAACAGGUCUGUCUAUGAUUCUGUUGGCUGUGUUGGUGGUAUUUUUGUACAGAGAAAAAACUAGAACAGGGCAUCACAAUUCCAAGCAUAUAAAGCGUAUAAAGGAAGAAAUGGUGGCUAAAGAGGAAACGGGGGAAAAUGAAAUAAUGUACAGCAUGGUGAAUUUCGACAAACACACCUAUCAGAGGAAUUUGUAAGACAGUAAAACAAAGCCGUUUAUGCUUUUCCUUUACAAAGUGUUUCCUGUCUGUCUCCUUUGCAAGUGGACACAAAAAGACUAGGCUUUGAUUGUUUCUAACCUCGAGUUACAACAGAAGCAACACGUCAGCGCAGCGAAAGCGUAGCACAAGCGACCAUCCGUCCUAUCCACACCAACACAGACAGUUGCGUUCCGUAUUCAAACACUACAGGCAUCAAUAGAGGAACAGCAGCUCUCGUUUGUUUUCUGGUAAAUGAUAUUUUGUGGUAAAAUCGAUUAUCAGUUAUGGGUAAGUGAAGGUACUGACGAUGUUAUUUUCGUUUUGAGUCUGUAUUGAUUGUUUAGAAGUUGAAUUGGUUCAUUAGCUUCCUAAUUUCAGCUGUUGUGGAUACACUGUAUCAAUGGACCACUCUGGGCCAGCAUGAUCAUAAUAUUGUUGUAGAUUGUGCUUAUAUACUGUAGUUCACAGGGUAUAGAAAGUGUGAGUUUUGUGUGACUUGAAUGGAUCCCUAUUGGGGUUUAUGCUUCACUCAUGUGCGCGGGUGGAAAAAACAAGAUUCGGUGCAUAAAGAAACGCUGGAGGACGAAGGGGAAGAAUGUGAGACAUGCAUCUCACAGAGAUGGAUACGUUUUCUGUUCCUUCCAUCGGACGCGAAACGGACGACUGAAUAAACGCUUCAGAAACGCUUUCGGUUUGAAUUGGCCUCAAGUGGGGUAUCACUUUUGUGUUCCAUUUUCUACAAGCUGAAUGUUUCACUGUUCUCUAAGGGAUCAAGAAGAUGGGAAAGAUCAUGGAAGCUCCCCUUUAAAUUUGACCAGAGGUAAUGAGUACAUUUCAAGGCCUGAAACUCCUUACUUAUCUUAUUGGUUAAUUUCUCUGAAUAACAAGAAAUGUUAAAUGUUAAACUCUCACAUUGAAGUCUGAAAGGUCAUUCUAUAGCUACUGUAAUUCACACAUUAAGGAGCACUAGUAGUAAAUAAUAAAACCGCAUUCAUCAAAUUAUAAAUCAUAAAUGAAAAACCUCCCAGGAGCCCAAAAUAAUUAUUAUUAAAAAAUGUAAUAGAAUAG